GCCAGACUCCUACGGGAGGCAGCAGUGAGGAAUAUUGGUCAAUGGGCGCUAGCCUGAACCAGCCAAGUAGCGUGAAGGAUGACUGCCCUAUGGGUUGUAAACUUCUUUUAUAUGGGAAUAAAGUGCAGUAUGUAUACUGCUUUGCAUGUACCUUAUGAAUAAGGAUCGGCUAACUCCGUGCCAGCAGCCGCGGUAAUACGGAGGAUCCGAGCGUUAUCCGGAUUUAUUGGGUUUAAAGGGAGCGUAGGCGGGUUGUUAAGUCAGUUGUGAAAGUUUGCGGCUCAACCGUAAAAUUGCAGUUGAUACUGGCAUCCUUGAGUACAGUAGAGGUAGGCGGAAUUCGUGGUGUAGCGGUGAAAUGCGUAGAUAUCAGGAGGAACACCGGUGGCGAAGGCGGCCUGCUGGACUGCAACUGACGUUGAGGCCCGAAAGCGUGGGGAGCAAACAGGAUUAGAUACCCCCGUA
rnacentral:rRNA from 1 species